rnacentral:rRNA from 1 species
UACGUAGGGGGCAAGCGUUGUCCGGAAUCAUUGGGCGUAAAGAGCGUGUAGGCGGCCCGGUAAGUCCGCUGUGAAAGUCGGGGGCUCAACCCUCGAAUGCCGGUGGAUACUGUCGGGCUAGAGUGCGGAAGAGGCGAGUGGAAUUCCUGGUGUAGCGGUGAAAUGCGUAGAGACCCGGAGGAACACCAGUGGCGAAGGCGGCUUCCUGGUCUGCGACUGACGCUGUGGCGCGAAAGCUAGGGGAGCAAACGGG